rnacentral:rRNA from 1 species
AUUGAACGCUGGCGGCAGGCCUAACACAUGCAAGUCGAGCGGAUGAAGGGAGCUUGCUCCUGGAUUCAGCGGCGGACGGGUGAGUAAUGCCUAGGAAUCUGCCUGGUAGUGGGGGAUAACGUCCGGAAACGGGCGCUAAUACCGCAUACGUCCUGAGGGAGAAAGUGGGGGAUCUUCGGACCUCACGCUAUCAGAUGAGCCUAGGUCGGAUUAGCUAGUUGGUGGGGUAAAGGCCUACCCAGGGGACGAUCCGUAACUGGUCUGAGGGGAUGAUCAGUCACACUGGAACUGAGACACGGUCCAGACUCCUACGGGAGGCAGCAGUGGGGAAUAUUGGACAAUGGGCGAAAGCCUGAUCCAGCCAUGCCGCGUGUGUGAAGAAGGUCUUCGGAUUGUAAAGCACUUUAAGUUGGGAGGAAGGGCAGUAAGUUAAUACCUUGCUGUUUUGACGUUACCAACAGAAUAAGCACCGGCUAACUUCGUG